UCCAGAGAUUUCCGAAUGGGGAAACCCAGCAUGAGUUAUGUCAUGUUAUCGAUAUGUGAAUACAUAGCAUAUCAGAAGGCACACCCGGAGAACUGAAACAUCUUAGUACCCGGAGGAAGAAAAAGAAAAUUCGAUUCCCUUAGUAGCGGCGAGCGAAACGGGAAGAGCCCAAACCAACAAGCUUGCUUGUUGGGGUUGUAGGACACUCUAUACGGAGUUACAAAGGACGACAUUAGACGAAUCAUCUGGAAAGAUGAAUCAAAGAAGGUAAUAAUCCUGUAGUCGAAAAUGUUGUCUCUCUUGAGUGGAUCCUGAGUACGACGGAACACGUGAAAUUCCGUCGGAAUCUGGGAGGACCAUCUCCUAAGGCUAAAUACUCUCUAGUGACCGAUAGUGAACCAGUACCGUGAGGGAAAGGUGAAAAGCACCCCGGAAGGGGAGUGAAAUAGAACCUGAAACCGUGUGCUUACAAGUAGUCAGAGCCCGUUAAUGGGUGAUGGCGUGCCUUUUGUAGAAUGAACCGGCGAGUUACGAUUUGAUGCAAGGUUAAGCAGUAAAUGUGGAGCCGUAGCGAAAGCGAGUCUGAAUAGGGCGUUUAGUAUUUGGUCGUAGACCCGAAACCAGGUGAUCUACCCUUGGUCAGGUUGAAGUUCAGGUAACACUGAAUGGAGGACCGAACCGACUUACGUUGAAAAGUGAGCGGAUGAACUGAGGGUAGCGGAGAAAUUCCAAUCGAACCUGGAGAUAGCUGGUUCUCUCCGAAAUAGCUUUAGGGCUAGCCUCAAGUGAUGAUUAUUGGAGGUAGAGCACUGUUUGGACGAGGGGCCCCUCUCGGGUUACCGAAUUCAGACAAACUCCGAAUGCCAAUUAAUUUAACUUGGGAGUCAGAACAUGGGUGAUAAGGUCCGUGUUCGAAAGGGAAACAGCCCAGACCACCAGCUAAGGUCCCAAAAUAUAUGUUAAGUGGAAAAGGAUGUGGCGUUGCCCAGACAACUAGGAUGUUGGCUUAGAAGCAGCCAUCAUUUAAAGAGUGCGUAAUAGCUCACUAGUCGAGUGACACUGCGCCGAAAAUGUACCGGGGCUAAACAUAUUACCGAAGCUGUGGAUUGUCCUUUGGACAAUGGUAGGAGAGCGUUCUAAGGGCGUUGAAGCAUGAUCGUAAGGACAUGUGGAGCGCUUAGAAGUGAGAAUGCCGGUGUGAGUAGCGAAAGACGGGUGAGAAUCCCGUCCACCGAUUGACUAAGGUUUCCAGAGGAAGGCUCGUCCGCUCUGGGUUAGUCGGGUCCUAAGCUGAGGCCGACAGGCGUAGGCGAUGGAUAACAGGUUGAUAUUCCUGUACCACCUAUAAUCGUUUUAAUCGAUGGGGGGACGCAGUAGGAUAGGCGAAGCGUGCGAUUGGAUUGCACGUCUAAGCAGUAAGGCUGAGUAUUAGGCAAAUCCGGUACUCGUUAAGGCUGAGCUGUGAUGGGGAGAAGACAUUGUGUCUUCGAGUCGUUGAUUUCACACUGCCGAGAAAAGCCUCUAGAUAGAAAAUAGGUGCCCGUACCGCAAACCGACACAGGUAGUCAAGAUGAGAAUUCUAAGGUGAGCGAGCGAACUCUCGUUAAGGAACUCGGCAAAAUGACCCCGUAACUUCGGGAGAAGGGGUGCUCUUUAGGGUUAACGCCCAGAAGAGCCGCAGUGAAUAGGCCCAAGCGACUGUUUAUCAAAAACACAGGUCUCUGCUAAACCGUAAGGUGAUGUAUAGGGGCUGACGCCUGCCCGGUGCUGGAAGGUUAAGAGGAGUGGUUAGCUUCUGCGAAGCUACGAAUCGAAGCCCCAGUAAACGGCGGCCGUAACUAUAACGGUCCUAAGGUAGCGAAAUUCCUUGUCGGGUAAGUUCCGACCCGCACGAAAGGCGUAACGAUUUGGGCACUGUCUCAACGAGAGACUCGGUGAAAUCAUAGUACCUGUGAAGAUGCAGGUUACCCGCGACAGGACGGAAAGACCCCGUGGAGCUUUACUGUAGCCUGAUAUUGAAAUUCGGCACAGCUUGUACAGGAUAGGUAGGAGCCUUUGAAACGUGAGCGCUAGCUUACGUGGAGGCGCUGGUGGGAUACUACCCUAGCUGUGUUGGCUUUCUAACCCGCACCACUUAUCGUGGUGGGAGACAGUGUCAGGCGGGCAGUUUGACUGGGGCGGUCGCCUCCUAAAAGGUAACGGAGGCGCUCAAAGGUUCCCUCAGAAUGGUUGGAAAUCAUUCAUAGAGUGUAAAGGCAUAAGGGAGCUUGACUGCGAGACCUACAAGUCGAGCAGGGUCGAAAGACGGACUUAGUGAUCCGGUGGUUCCGCAUGGAAGGGCCAUCGCUCAACGGAUAAAAGCUACCCCGGGGAUAACAGGCUUAUCUCCCCCAAGAGUUCACAUCGACGGGGAGGUUUGGCACCUCGAUGUCGGCUCAUCGCAUCCUGGGGCUGUAGUCGGUCCCAAGGGUUGGGCUGUUCGCCCAUUAAAGCGGUACGCGAGCUGGGUUCAGAACGUCGUGAGACAGUUCGGUCCCUAUCCGUCGUGGGCGUAGGAAAUUUGAGAGGAGCUGUCCUUAGUACGAGAGGACCGGGAUGGACAUACCUCUGGUGUACCAGUUGUCGUGCCAACGGCAUAGCUGGGUAGCUAUGUGUGGACGGGAUAAGUGCUGAAAGCAUCUAAGCAUGAAGCCCCCCUCAAGAUGAGAUUUCCCAACUUCGGUUAUAAGAUCCCUCAAAGAUGAUGAGGUUAAUAGGUUCGAGGUGGAAGCAUGGUGACAUGUGGAGCUGACGAAUACUAAUCGAUCGAAGACUUAAUCAA
rnacentral:rRNA from 1 species